CGUCCUAUUAGCUAGUUGGUGAGGUAAUGGCUCACCAAGGCUACGAUGGGUAGGGGUUCUUAGUGGAAGGUCCCCCACACUGGCACUGAGAUACGAGCCAGACUCCUACGGGAGGCAGCAGUAGGGAAUAUUGGUCAAUGGGCGCAAGCCCGAACCAGCCAUGCCGCGUGCAGGAUGAAGGCUCUCUGAGUUGUAAACUGCUUUUGGACAGGAGCAAAAAAAUCCCUGCGGGGGUUCUUGAGAGUACUGUAAGAAUAAGCACCGGCUAAUUCCGUGCCAGCAGCCGCGGUAAUACGGGAGGUGCAAGCGUUAUCCGGUUUUAUUGGGUUUAAAGGGUGCGUAGGCGGCUUAUUAAGUCAGUUGUGAAAUCCUAGUGCUUAACGCUAGAACUGCGAUUGAUACUAUU
rnacentral:rRNA from 1 species